AGGUAAUAGAAUCUGAUUAGUCAGUUGGACCAAACAAUAAGUGAUUUAAUUGAUCACUUGUAACUAAUAGUUUGCUCUGGAACCUGAGUGACCUAAUUUCUUUUUCUUUUCCUUCACCAGAAAUUAUAAAAUUUCUUAACAAGACGAAGAGAUCUUAUGUUGGGAUCUAAUGAUUCUCGCAAACAAACUAAGGGAGAGGGACUGAAUAACAUUGAGGAUAUAUUUGAUCUCCAAAGCUAAAUACACUUCUAGUUUAUUAAAAAAGGAAGCAAAAAAUUGAAAAUGGAAAACUAAGUAAAAUUGCACAACAUUGAAAUUUGACAGCCAUGGAAAUUUUAUCGUCCACAAGAGUUCCCACCAUCAUGCUGAGCCAAACAUCAAAAUGCCUACAGAAGCUCUACAACAAGAGCGGAUGCACCUCCUCCACCAUUGCAAACGCCACCAACACCAUAUUUCCCAUUUUUUUGCCUCAAUACCCCCAAAAGUGUGACCAAGAUACGAGCGCCACUGCAACCUAGUGGAUGACCCAAGGAUACCGCUCCACCAUGUACAUUAACCUUUUCUGGAUUAAGUCCAAGCAGUUUCUGAUUUGCAAGAGCUACAACAGCAAAGGCUUCAUUUAUUUCAUAGUAAUCAACUUGAGAAGCAUCCAAGCCCGCAUUUGAUACAGCUUUAGGUAUUGCCAGUGCUGGAGCUGUUGUAAAUAACUCUGGUGCCUGAGCAGCAUCAGCAUAUCCUGUGAUCUUUGCAAUCACUUGCAAACCAAGCUUAAGAGCAGUCUCUCCACUCACCAGAACCAAAGCAGCAGCACCAUCACUUAUGCUAGAGGCAUUGCCAGCGGUAACUGUGCCUCCAUUCUCUUUAAAACUUGGUCGGAGUUUCCUCAAUUUUACAGGGUCAAACUGGCAAAACACAACAACAAAAUAGAAGAAUGUAACAGCAGAGCAAGUUAGAUGGCGUUAGUUGAUUUUACAUCUAACAGAAGGUCCAUUUGCGACCAGCCACCCCCAAGAUAAAAGAAGGGUAUGCAUCUUGAUAAGGUAUUCUUGUAAUCUUUUAACCAUUCAUCUAUAUUAUCAAGAAGCAACUCACGGACUUUAGACGAAGGCAAGAAAUAAGAAUGAACGUGUGUCAUUGAUAUGGAAUAUGAGUAAAAAUAUAACAUAUACCUUCCCUAAGCCUUCAUCCUUAUCAACAAUUGUUGAAGGUUUUCCCCUUCCCCCAGAAACUUCAACCGGAACAAUUUCCCAUGCAAAGGCACCACUGUCUUGGGCAGCAAUACCACGCUCAAAACUGUGAAUAGCAUAGUUAUCCUGAUCCUCUCUUCUUAUUGAAUGAUUAUCUGCACAUAUUUCAGCACAACUUCCCAUGCCAACAUCAUUAUAAACAUCCCACAACCCAUCUUUCAGCAUUCCAUCAACUACUGAAUCAUGUCCAAGUCGUGAUCCCUUCCUUGCUUCUGCCAGGUAUUUAGGUGCAUUAGACAUGCUUUCCAUGCCUCCAGCAACAACAACAUCAUUGAUUCCUAGCUGGAUACUCUGGGCUGCAAGCAUAGUUGCUUUCAUCCCCGAAGCACAAACUUUGUUAACAGUGGUGCAGACCACUGAAUUAGGAAUUCCCGCACCUAAUGCAGCCUGUCUAGCAGGAGCCUGCCCUAAAUUUGCACUGAGAACGUUGCCAAAGAAAACUUCUUGUACAAGUGAUGGAUCAACAUUGGCCCUUUUAAGAGCAGCUUCAAUAGCUAUAGAUCCCAGCUUGGUGGCAGGUAAAGUAGAUAGUAAACCAAGAAAUCCACCCAUUGGUGUGCGGGCAACACCAACAAUGCAAACAUCUCUAGGCUUUAUUUCUGCUGCUACUGCUGUUGCUGCUGCUGGGGCCAUGUAUUA
rnacentral:misc_RNA from 1 species